AUGAAUAUGGUCGAAUGGUAAAAUUUCUCUUUGCCAAGGAGAAGAUGUGGGUUCAAUUCCUUCUAUCCGCC
rnacentral:tRNA from 1 species